UCCCUCUUAGCUCAGUGGUAGAGCGCGUCACUAGUAUUCAUCAUUUAUCUUUGCUCAACAUGACGAGGUCAGUCGUUCAAGUCGGCUAGAGGGAA